UACAGAGGGGGCUAGCGUUAUUCGGAAUUAUUGGGCGUAAAGGGCGCGUAGGCGGCCAUGCGUGUCUUCCGUGAAAUCCCUCGGCUUAACUGAGGACGUGCGGAAGAAACUGCAAGGCUCGAGUCCGGGAGAGGGGGGUGGAAUUCCCAGUGUAGCGGUGAAAUGCGUAGAUAUUGGGAGGAACACCGGUGGCGAAGGCGGCCCCCUGGACCGGUACUGACGGCUGAGGCGCGAAAGCGUGGGUAGCAAACGGG
rnacentral:rRNA from 1 species